GGAUGAACGCUGGCGGCGUGCCUAAUACAUGCAAGUCGAGCGAACAGAUGAGGAGCUUGCUCCUCUGACGUUCGCGGCGGACGGGUGAGUAACACGUGGAUAACCUACCUAUAAGACUGGGAUAACUUCGGGAAACCGGAGCUAAUACCGGAUAAUAUAUUGAACCGCAUGGUUCAAUAGUGAAAGACGGUUUUGCUGUCACUUAUAGAUGGAUCCGCGCCGCAUUAGCUAGUUGGUAAGGUAACGGCUUACCAAGGCAACGAUGCGUAGCCGACCUGAGAGGGUGAUCGGCCACACUGGAACUGAGACACGGUCCAGACUCCUACGGGAGGCAGCAGUAGGGAAUCUUCCGCAAUGGGCGAAAGCCUGACGGAGCAACGCCGCGUGAGUGAUGAAGGUCUUCGGAUCGUAAAACUCUGUUAUUAGGGAAGAACAAAUGUGUAAGUAACUAUGCACGUCUUGACGGUACCUAAUCAGAAAGCCACGGCUAACUACGUG
rnacentral:rRNA from 1 species